GGCCAACUGGCCCAAUGGCAAGGCGCUUGACUACGAUUAGACCUUCUCGCACGAGAAGUCCGUCGGUAUCAAGAGAUUGUAGGUUCGAUCCCUACGUUGGUCA
rnacentral:tRNA from 1 species